GCUAACCGAGGGAGAGCUGCGAGCGAGCACCCAGGCCCCGCCGCCGCCGCCGCCACCGCUGCCCGCCUGCCGCCGCCCGCCUCCGCCUGCCUUCUGCCGCCGGCCGGCGCGUCGUCCCCACAGGGAUGAAAAGGAGUUGCCCGUGUUCGGUAUUGAACCACGAAGGACCUUGCCAUGCCCAGUACGGUGGCCACUGACCCCCCGCCGUUUGGGACGAUGGAGCCCACGAAAUGGGGCCAGUUUCAGUUGCGGUCCCAGCUGUGAAACGUACAUCUGAUUUUAAAAACUUCGGAUGAGAAAGAAAGUAAAAGAUGUCAUUGAUUGCUCAUUUAGAAAGUGGAUGUGUGGGAUAACAUGUCCAAUGUGUCCGAGGAGAGAAGAAAAAGGCAGCAGAACAUUAAGGAAGGACUGCAGUUUAUACAGUCACCGCUGUCAUAUCCAGGAACACAGGAGCAAUAUGCGGUAUAUUUGCGUGCUCUCGUGAGAAAUCUUUUUAAUGAAGGAAAUGACGUUUAUCGGGAACAUGAUUGGAACAACUCGAUAAGCCAGUACACGGAAGCCUUG
rnacentral:lncRNA from 10 species